CCUACGGGAGGCAGCAGUGGGGAAUAUUGCACAAUGGGCGCAAGCCUGAUGCAGCGACGCCGCGUGCGGGAUGGAGGCCUUCGGGUGGUAAACCGCUUUUGUUCAAGGGCAAGGCACGGUCGUUGGCCGGGUUGAGUGGAUGGGUCGAAGAAGCACCGGCUCCCUACGUGCCAGCAGCCGCGGUAAUACGUAGGGUGCAAGCGUUAUCCGGAUUUAUGGGGCGUAAAGGGCGCGUAGGCGGUUCGUCGCGUCCGGUGUGCAAGGCCAUCGCUUAACGGUGGAUCCGCGCCGGGUACGGGCGGGCUUGCGUGCGGUAGGGGCGACUGGCCUUCCCGGUGUACCGGU
rnacentral:rRNA from 1 species